UGGGGAAUAUUGGACAAUGGGCGCAAGCCUGAUCCAGCCAUGCCGCGUGAGUGAUGAAGGCCUUAGGGUUGUAAAGCUCUUUUAACGGGGAAGAUAAUGACGGUACCCGUAGAAUAAGCCCCGGCUAACUUCGUGCCAGCAGCCGCGGUAAUACGAAGGGGGCUAGCGUUGCUCGGAAUCACUGGGCGUAAAGCGCACGUAGGCGGAUCGUUAAGUCAGGGGUGAAAUCCUGGAGCUCAACUCCAGAACUGCCUUUGAUACUGGCGAUCUUGAGUUCGGGAGAGGUGAGUGGAACUGCGAGUGUAGAGGUGAAAUUCGUAGAUAUUCGCAAGAACACCAGUGGCGAAGGCGGCUCACUGGCCCGAUACUGACGCUGAGGUGCGAAAGCGUGGGGAGCAAACA
rnacentral:rRNA from 1 species